AGAUAUGUGGAACCUUAAAAAAAGUUUUUGCAUUUCUUUCCUCAAGAGAGAAUAAGCCUAAUUUGUCACUUCUUUUUUAUCCACAGCUCCUUCAUUCCCAAAUUCAUCACCCACCUCUUCAAGUGCAAGCCAAUUAGCAUGGUGGGAGCAGAACAGCUGCUGCUGGACACCCACUCGCUGAAGAUGGUCCUGCUCGAUCUCCCCUCCAUCGGCUCGCAGGUGGUGAGGAAGGCACCCGCCAGCUACACCAAAAUCGUUGUCAAAGGCAUGACCCGGGCUGAGAUGAUCCUCAAGGUGAUGGCCCCUCAUGAACCGUUGGUGGUGUUUGUUGACAACUACAUCAAACUCCUCACAGACUGCAACACAG
rnacentral:sRNA from 1 species